GGGUCAGUAGGUUGGUCGUGCCACCGGUACGUACUGGUCUCACUGAUUCCUCCUUCCUGAAGAACCGUAAUGCCAUUAAUUUGGUGUUGCGGGGAAACAGGACUGUUACUUUGUAAAAAUUAGAGUGUUUAAAGCAAGCUAACGCUUGAAUACAUUAGCAUGGAAUAAUGAAAUAGGACGAUCGAUCCUAUUUUGUUGGUUUCUAGGAUUGACGUA
rnacentral:rRNA from 1 species